CCAAGGCGCCGGCCACCCGCUCAGGACGGCUCGUAUCUCAUCAGAGAACGCCCCAUGCCCAUGUCCACCCACAAGCAGAUGGCCUCCCCCUAACUAUGAGGAUUUUUUAAUGGGGUGAAAAUGCCAGUCUCCGAAGCCAGGGUUCCCGGACCCCCGGGGCCGAGCCGGGCGCGGGAGCCCCACAGGGGCGGGGAGGCCGGCCGAGCUUGAAGAAGUGGAGGAGAGAUCUACAGAACUUAAGAGGGGCGUCCCUAUCCCGUUUUCCUGCUCACCCUCCUUUGCCCCCAACUCCAUCUCUGCGACACCGCCCCCCCAAAAAAAGAAGUCACUCCUUGGUUCUGUCUUCCAGAGAGCCAGGGUGAGAGCGGGCAAGGCGAGAGAGCGACCUCGGUCGUGGGCAAGUAGCUUGUUUUUACGUCCUUCAAUAAAAUUUUUAUGAGGAUCA